rnacentral:rRNA from 1 species
ACAGUGGACGCGAGCAUCUUUGUAGUAACAACAAGCUACUAAGGGCAAUCGGUGGAUGCCUAGGCACCAAGAGCCGAUGAAGGACGUCGAUGUCCGGCGACCUCCGCCUGAAUAUAUAGGGCGGUUGGAGGGAACGUGGGGAAGUGAAACAUCUCAGUACCCACAGGAAAAGAAAACAACAGUGAUUCCGUCAGUAGUGGCGAGCGAACGCGGAAGAGGCCAAACCGUACGUGUGUGAUAGCUGACAGGCGUUGCAUGUGCGGUGUUGUGGGGCCAUUCUGACCGUGCUGUCGACCGGUCGAGCAGUCAAAAAUGACACAUGAAGUCGAAGCGUUCUGGGAAGGCGCGGCAUAGCAGGUAACACCCCUGUAGACGUAAGUGUGUCACUGCUGAGUGUCACCCCAAGUAGCAGCCAACCCCUGAAAUUGGCUGUGAAUCCGGCGGGACCACCCGCUAAGCCUAAAUACUCCUUGGUGACCGAUAGCGGACUAGUACCGUGAGGGAAAGGUGAAAAGUACCCCGGGAGGGGAGUGAAAUAGUACCUGAAACCGAUUGCCUACAAUCCGUCGGAGCUGAGCCGCAAGGCGAGGUGACGGCGUGCCUUUUGAAGAAUGAGCCUGCGAGUUAGUGGUAUGUGGCGAGGUUAACCCGUGUGGGGAAGCCGUAGCGAAAGCAAGUCCGAAUAGGGCGUCGAGUCGCAUGCUCUAGACCCGAAGCGGAGUGAUCUAUCCAUGGCCAGGGUGAAGCGACGGUAAGACGUCGUGGAGGCCCGAACCCACCAGGGUUGAAAACCUGGGGGAUGAGCUGUGGAUAGGGGUGAAAGGCCAAUCAAACUCCGUGAUAGCUGGUUCUCCCCGAAAUGCAUAUAGGUGCAGCGUCGCGUGUUCCUUGCCGGAGGUAGAGCACUGGAUAGUCUAGGGGGCCCACAAGCUUACCGAAAUUAGCCAAACUCCGAAUGCCGGUAAGCCAAGCGCGGCAGUGAGACUGCGGGCGAUAAGGUUCGUAGUCGAGAGGGAAACAGCCCAGAACACCAGCUAAGGCCCCUAAGCGAUGGCUAAGUGGAAAAGGAUGUGGAGUUGCGGAGACAACCAGGAGGUUGGCUUGGAAGCAGCCACCCUUGAAAGAGUGCGUAAUAGCUCACUGGUCAAGUGAUUCUGCGCCGACAAUUUAGCGGGGCUCAAGCCAUCCGCCGAAGCUGUGUCAUCUGCGUAACACCCUCACUUCGGUGCAGGGGCGUGGAUGGGUAGGGGAGCGUCGUGUGCGCGAUGAAGCGGCAGGGUGACCUAGCCGUGGAGAGCACACGAGUGAGAAUGCAGGCAUGAGUAGCGAAUGAGGAGUGAGAAACUCCUCCACCGAAAGACCAAGGGUUCCAGGGUCAAGCUAAUCUGCCCUGGGU